UUUUGAAGGCAAGGGGAGUGUUUUUGCUGUGAUGAAAGUGUGUGAGGAUUUGAGAUUCGAAAGCUGCAGAUUAAUGUUGAACUUAAAUUUCUUUAUUUUUGUCAUUCUUGUAGACCUUUGCUGGUUCCUCUCCAUGACCUCUCAGCCCAGGGACAGCAAGUUAAACUCAGUCUGAAGUGAGAGGGAUUUCCUAGUCAUUAACUGACUUGUUAUCCUGGUGAGAGAAGGUUGUCAGAGCAUCAGGCACAUGGUGAUUCCAUGAGCAGAAUAGAGUGACAUCAGAAUGGCAGCUUGGAAAAAGCCACCUCUGUUGAGAGUUUGGUUUUGAAGGCACUUGGUUGAGGUGCUGCUGCUCUGAAGAAAAAAAGGCACCAGGGUUAUCACAACCCAGUUUCUAAUGAGAUGUCAUGAUUUCCAAUGAAGAGUGGCCCCACCCAGCUCCAUGAAAUCAGAUGGUCUCUCUCCUGGGGGGCUGAAAUCUCUGCCACCCUUAUUCUCUGCCUGUGUCUGAGGCUGCAGUGGGAUAGGUGUGUAUGGGUGUGCCCUCACACCUGUGGAUGCAUGCUGGUGAGUGGGUGCUUGGGGCCAGUGUGUCAGUUCAAGUGCCCUUUUAGAUAGGCCGCACCUUACUCAAUACAUCCAUGGACAGCUGGAUCCCAGAAAAUGAAAGAUGUACUGGACUCCUACCACUUGGUUGUCAUCCAGCACAAAAAUACUGCUUUCGUGUGGUGGCCUUAUCUCUGCUCCUGUUAGCUGAACAGCCUAUUGGAAUUCAGUUACCUCCUUAUUUCUGGUUAUCACCUAUCAGUCAGCCAGCAGGGAGUACGAAAGUUGGAAUGACCAGAACAUCUUUUAUCUUUGCUUAUUGAAUCCUCGAAAGGCUGUCUUUCCCUCCUCACUGAAGAGUUGACAACUUCUGCUUCUUGACGGAUGGGGUUUUCCCACAUGCUAACGUGUCUUUAGGUAGGAGCAGCAGUUAUGGAGGCAGAGAAGGAGAUGGAGUAAAGGAGCACACUGAAAGUCUAAAGUAACUUGUGCAGUUAUCUGCAGAAUAUGGAAAACUCACCAGGAGCACAAGAAUGGCCAUAUUGGAUCAGACCAUAAGGCCACCUAGUCCAGCAUUCUGUCUUCCGACAUUGGCUAAAGCCAGGUACUUCAGAAGGAAUUAACAGAAUAGGUUUGAAUGGAUACCCUGUGUUUUGCACAGUGGGCAGACCUCAUGCUGUCAAGAGCUGAAACAUGCUUGCUUCACACGCCUUUCAAGAAAGGAACAUUUACCCAAAUGCCCUCAAGGAACAUCUAAAUCUGUAAAAGAGUCGACACAGUUCUCUUUCCCUGACAAAGUAGGAUUGUUCCUUAUGUAACCCAUGAGAGGGUUUCGCUCUUUACAGAUGAUUCUUAAAUGUGUUCUAUGAACUUUAUGGAUAAUCCCUAAGCCUUUACACUAAAGGGGGGGGGGAAGUCUGCACACAGAGCAGCCAUUUUGUUUAACUGAGUGCCAUAGAAAAGAUCAGAAAGGAAAAGAACUUCCCAUCAUAGUAUUCGGGGUGGGGGAGGAACCCAAAUAAAUUUAAAUUGUGUUAAAUUUGGUUGUUUCGCACUCGGUUUUUCUUUUUAAUAAAGAGGUGGAUGGAAAAGAACCACCAGCAAAGGGUGAAUCUUCUCCCUCUGACAUCCUUGGGGAACAGACGACAUGAAAAAGGGAAGAGAGUCACCCCAGGUAGACAGAUUAACCUUUUGCAGAGGCAUUUUGUAUAUAAAACACUUCCCCUUCCCUGAUUCUCAGGGCAGAACUUGUUAAUUUCAAAUGGAAAAUUACAAUCAUGCCUAUUGCUUUACUGUUAGUGUAAAUUCAUGUACUGUUGUUCUUAACUUUUCUCUGAAACAGGUGAAGCCCACAACCUGGACAGGAAUCCUACUUCCUUCCAGCCUUAGCAUUAGAGAGGGACUAUAGCCCUGGUGGAGAGUAAAGAAGGGUUCAUGCUUCCAGCAAGGCUGUACAUUGCACCGAGCAGUCACAGUCCUAAUUUGUUGGCAAUAUAAAGAAUUCAAGGGAUAUCUACAAAACUGCAGCUUGGCUUUUCAACUGGCUCUGUGGGCUUUUAAAGCCCUUAGUGGAAAGGGAAGGGUCAAUAUUCAGA